ACAUUCAUAUAAAAGAGGAAUCACCAGGAAUUGUUACAUCAAAAAAAAAUCUGUUCUUUCAAAAAUUUCACACAAUGCGGACUCUCCUUAUCUUCACCAUCUUCUUGGCACUCGCAUAUACAGCUUGUGCAGAGCCGCGUCCUCAAUCACCGAGGAGAUGCCGUUCCGGGGAACAAUGGCAAACAUGCGCUCCAGCGUGUCAGCCGACAUGUAGAAAUCCUCGCGGAGCCUGCCCUGGCCGUCGGUGCGUUGCGUCCUGCGCCUGCAUUCGCGGUAUGGUGAGAAUGUUCCCCGGUGGUAUCUGCACGAGAGUCUGUCCACGCAUCGGUUGAAGAUCAUCUUUUGCCAUUUUCGAACUAUUUCUGCGGUAUUAUCUAACUUCAUGAUUAUAAAUGUCUGCUUCAAUAAAAUGAUUUUGCUGUCAACUUAUUAAUA